ensembl:ncRNA T11A5.9 ncRNA
UCCAGAACAGUGCAACAUAAAUCCAAAUAAAUGAAGUUGAAUUAUAAUUUUGAAAUUAACAUGAAAAAGCUUUGUAUACUUCAUUGACCACAGUUUCCAAGUAGCCCAAAUUAAAAC